UCCCUGGUGGCUCAAAGGUUAAAGCAUCUGCCUGCAAUGCAGGAGACUCCGGUUCAAUCCCUGGGUCAGGAA
rnacentral:tRNA from 1 species